AAGAAACUGCCAAACUGUUUUCCAAAGUGAUUGUACCACUUUAUGUUCUCACCUACAAUUUAUGAGUGUGCCAUUUGUUCAAACAUUCUUGCUGACCCUUGAUAUUGGCAGUCCUUAAUUUUAGCUGCACUAGUGGCUAUGAGUAGUAUCUCAUUGUGGUUUCAAAUUGCACUUCCCCAAUGACUAAAGAUGUUGACUUUCUUUCAUGUGUUUAUCUGCCAUUCAUAUGCCUUUUUUGGUUAAAUAUCUCUUCAUAUCUUUUCCCGUUUUUAGAUGGAAUGUUUGUCUUCUCAUUAUUCAGUUUUAAGAGUUUUUAUAUAUUCUGCAUAGAGACCCUUUAUUAGACAUGUGUUUUGCUAAUAUUUUCUCCCAGCCUGUUGCAUGCCUGUUCUUUUUCUUUUUCUUUUUUUUUUUUUUUUUUUGAGACGGAGUCUCGCACUGUCGCCCAGGCUGCAGUGCAGUGGCCCGAUCUCAGCUCACUGCAAGCUCCGCCUCCUGGGUUCAUGCCAUUCUCCUGCCUCAGCUUCCUGAGUAGCUGGGACUACAGGUGCCCACCACCACGCCCGGCUAAUUUUUUGUAUUUUUAGUAGAGACAGGGUUUCACUGUGUUAGCCAGGAUGGUCUGGAACUCCUAACCUCGUGAUCUGCCCGCCUUGGCCUCCCAGAGUGCUGGGAUUACAGGCGUAAGCCACCACGCCUGGCGCCUAUUCUUUUUCUUAACAGUAUUUGUAUUAGUCUGUUUUUACACUGCGAUAAAGAUACUACCUGAGACUGGGUAAUUUAUGAACAAAAGCGGUGCAGCUGCAGAAUUCCCACACUGGCUCUCUGAAUAGUAGGGUGAGGGCUAUUACGGUGGGAAAGGCCAAAUGGAAGUCAUUAGAGCUGCCUCUACCUAGAAAAAUAGUAAAUCAAAAACAAUAUCACAUCCCUGGAGGGAUUGCGGAGAUUAGUGCCACCAUCAAGGACUUGAAUGACACAGGGGUGGUGAUUUCCACCACACUCCCGUUCAACUCUCCUAUUUGGCCUGUGCAGAAGACAGAUGGAUCUUCGAGAAAGACAGUGGAUUUUCUAAGCUUAACCAAGUGGUGACUCCAAUUGCAGCUGCUGUACCAGAUGUGGUUUCAUUGCUUGAGCAAAUUAACACAUUUCCUGGUACCUGGUAUGUAGCCAUUGCCUUGGAAAAUGCCCUUUUCUCCAUUCCUGUCCAUAAGGCCCACAAGAAGCAAUUUGCCUUUGGGUGGCAAGGCCAGCAAUAUGCCUUUACUGUCCUACCUCAGGGUUAUAUCAACUCUCCAGCUUUGUGUCGUAAUCUUAUUCGGAGAGACCUUGAUCGCCGUGCUUCCUCAAGAUAUCACACUGGUGGCGGGGGCGGGGCACGGGUGGUGGUGGCGGGGAGGCCCUGGGCCUGGCCCACAAAGCCAUUUUUCUCUUCUAGGCCUCUGGGCCUGUGAUGAGAGGGGCUGCUAGUCUGAUAUGCCCUGGAGACAAUUUCCCCAUUGUCUUGGCUAUUAACAUUCGGCUCUUUCACCUGUGCAAAUUUCUGCAGCCUGCUUGAAUUCCUCCCCAGAAAAUGCGUUUUCUUUUCUACACAUGGUCAGGCUGCAAAUUUUCCAAACCUUUAUUCUUUGCUUCCCUUUUAUCCAUUUUCUCAUCCACUCCCAUUCUGAGCCUCUUGUAACCAUCAUUUUGCUCUCUACUUCUGUGAGUUCACCUCUUUUAGAUUCACUUAUAAGUGAGAUCAUGUGGUAUUUGUCUUUCUGUGCCUUGCUUAUUUCAUUUAACAUAAUGUCCUCCAGGUUUGGCUAUAUUGUUGAAAAUGACACAAUUUCCCUCUUUUAAAGGCUGAAUUGUAUUCCAUUUUGUAUCUAUACUACAUUUUUAAAUUGUUUUACUUUUAAGAGUACCAUGCUUUUUAUAUCUUAUUAAGGAAAUCUUUUGUUUCCUUAUAGAUUAUUCAUAAU
rnacentral:lncRNA from 1 species